UACGUAGGGGGCUAGCGUUGUCCGGAAUCAUUGGGCGUAAAGCGCGCGUAGGCGGCCAGAUAAGUCCGGUGUGAAAGUCACAGGCUCAACCUGUGAAUGCCGCUGGAAACUGUCUGGCUUGAGUCCGGAAGGGGCGAGUGGAAUUCCCGGUGUAGUGGUGAAAUGCGUAGAUAUCGGGAGGAACACCAGUGGCGAAGGCGGCUUCUGGUCUGUUCUUGACGCUGAGGCGCGAAAGCCUAGGGUAGCAAACGGGAUUAAGAAACCCG
rnacentral:rRNA from 1 species